CGUCAGCAGAGUAAAGGCGUACAAAACUUCCAUUCGGCGAACCUGGGAAAAGAUUUGUCUUUUGCAACGCCUAAAGUCAAAUGGUAUCAGGAGACAUGAUUGAACGAACUGAUAAAUUAUGGUCCCUCUGCAGUAGGCUGUGGCAGCUCUAGACAGGACUUGGGUGAGGAGACCAUGCCAGCCAUGUCAGACACACACAUCCAGGAGGAGCUAAAUCAACCACUCUCCCCACCCAUGGCUACCUCCUCUCAGGCCUCUCAGAGAACUCAAAGGGCAGCUUUUCCUUUGCUAUUAAAAGGAUUAUUCAUACUGACAAUAUGUAACACUAAUGAUG